GGGAAGGUGGCUCAGUGGUAAAGUACUUGCUUUGCAUGCAUGAGGCCUGGGGUUCUAUUCCUCAUCACCACA
rfam:Dipodomys ordii contig_9903, whole genome shotgun sequence.